AUUUCCUGUACCUGGUGAUUUCCUACAUCCUCCAAAGUCUUUAUGUUAAUAACAUCAUUUACAGUAGGGUGCAUUGAUAGCUUCCAUUUGUUUGCAUAAUCCUUUUACGGUACAGUAAGCACUAAGUCCACACAAAGGUUGUAAGUUAGCUAACAGCAUGAGAAACCCUUGCACUGACAUCCCGUGUCAGCUACUCGCCCAACCUUAUUUCCUUCUUUAACAAAGGACUUUGCACUUCAUAGCCCAGUGUUUGCUCCUAUCAGCAGUGUGGUAUGUGUUUGCUUUACUGUGAUUAGGAAUUAUUAAGGUGAACACAUCUAAUUUUGUAGUCUUUGUUAGUUUAGACCAUAGGCUGUGGCUUGAUUCAAUUCAUCAGACAACUCUGGCUGCACUUUAUAAAGUGAGACAAAGGUUUAUGGUGUGAUUAGGUAUCGAGUUAGCUGCUGAAAACAAACAAGCUUUACUGAAAGCUUGAAACGUGUGGCUCUCUUGACUAAUGGUUUGUGCGUGUCUGACUGUUUAUCUGAAUUGUGAUUGUGCGUAUGAUCCUGUUUUUGAGCUCUGUUUGCACCAGCAUGUGUUUUGCAUGUGCCAGCCUCACUACUGUCUUGUUUCUCUGCUCUCUUCACACAGGUCUCUUCACACAGGUCUUGUCUUACAGGUUUUUCUACACGCCCACAUAUAAACACACACACAUGCUUUGACACAAACACCCACAGGGCGUGGAAAGAGCGCUGGCCCUUUUAUAGUGCUUUUCUGUCUCUUCCAGUCAGCCUGUCGCUGACUUGUUCCAGGAACAAGUGUAUGACAAGUGUCUUUCCAACGGAGUUUGUGUGCUUGCUCCGUUUGCUCCAGCUGUGCCCAUCGUCUUAGCAGCAGGCAAACACACACAACCCACUGGGAUGGCAGGAGAGUGUAUUCCCGAGGGUCCAGACCUGAGAGAGAUGGGCGAGGAGGAACUGUGGGAACUGAUUAACGACAAUCGCCACAGGAUCUCCUUGGGAGUGCGGCCAUGCAUCCUGAUCCCGUAUCUGAGGCAGGCCAGGGUGCUCACAGAGAUGGACGAGGAUGAGAUCCUCUCCUGUCACAACCUCACCAACCGCAGCAUGAGAACCAGCUAUAUGCUUGAUCUGCUGAGGACCCAGGGGAGGAAUGGUGCUGUGGCCUUGCUGGACGGUCUUAUGAUCCACUACCCGACCCUGUACACGCAAGUCACUGGACGCAAACCCAGCACAGAGCCUUCACGAUUCAGUGGCCUGAUUAAGUACUCAGAGCUGACAGAGUAUCUGGUCAGAGCAGUAACAGGUAUGCAGAAGGAGCUCCAGGAAGCGCGUUGCGAGGCUGGCAGGAUGAGUGCACGCUGUGCCUCCCUGGAGUCAGAGAUUAGGGAGAUGAUUGGGCAGGAGGAGAAGUCCACAGGCCUUCAAACUGAAAACGAACGCAUGCGGAGACACUUGUGCUCUUUGCAACAUGAAGUCACCAAGCUGAAGGAUGAGAAGUGCGAAUUGUAUAUGCGCUACACAGCAGCUAUCGAGGAAAAAUCAGCUGUGAACAUGCGCCUCCAUGACCUCAACCUGCAGCUGUACCAGCUGCAGAUAGAGCUGCAGAAAGCACAGACGGAGAAUGAGUUCCAGAAGAGACAGUCGCUCAGAUGUGCCCCUCACGCUGACCCACAACUGCAAGAGGAAAUCAGGAACCUGCGCUGUCAGCUGUUGAAAGCAGAAAAACUGGACCCAGCCCAUCAGGACAUCCUGGCCCAGGACCUGGCUGAGGCCAUAGACAGCCAGCUGGAGCUUGCAGAACAGCUCAGGUGUUUCAGAGAGGAGAAUGAAAUGCUGCUCGCCGAGAAACAAGGGCUCUUAGAUCAGAAGGAGUGCCUAAGCCUCCAGGUGCAGCAGCUGACCCAGGAUUGUAACAUGCACCAGCAGAAGAACACUGUGAUCCAGAACCAGAUGAGAGAGCUGCAGGCAGAGAGAGACCAGGCAUACUUGUCCAGAGAUGAGGCCCAGGCCAUGAUCGCCCGUGUCCUCGCUGAGAAGGACACCCUCAGGUGUCAGCUGGUUGAGCUCCAAGAGCGGGUUUUCAGUCUGCAGGUCAAACAUCCCAGGGAACAACGGCAGAGCUGUGAUGAGGGGGGGGUGGACUGGGAGAGCCCAGUAUCCAGCUGUAAAGAAUACCCGUUCCCAGCUCGACGUAGACUUUGCCGCAUGGAUGCAGUCAAUCCCAUGAUACCCAGGUCCUGCAAUUCAGAGUGUGAAGAUGCUGUAAUAAGUAGUGUCCGAUCCCGAAAUGUGGAGCCCCCAAAUCCAGAGUCUCUCCGCAGAAGGGAAGAAGCUUUGUAUGCAGACAGCAGCUUGGAAACAGAGGAGAGUGACUCUCUAUUAGACGACUUUGUGUUUCUCCCCAAAGUGAGCAGUGAAGACAAACAGACAUCCAGGCUUUCCUCUUCUAAUGGCUCCAGCACUAAUGGCCUGUCAAGAACCUCAGCCCCUCCCUUCCUGAUGCGUUCUCGCGCAAAAGCAAUGCGCAUCAACGGCCGUGUACUCACCAUCUCCCUCCAGGGUGAGGCCCUGCUCAGCCAACUAGCAGUGGUAGGAGGCAACAAGACUGGAGUGUUUGUACAUCAGGUGACAGAAGGAAGCCCUGCUCAUACUGUUGGCAUCAGCCCUGGGGCACAGAUCGUGGAGGUGAAAUAUGAGCAGAACCAGAAGGCUCUAAGGAUGGUGCUGGAGGAUUCCACUUUAGAGGAAGCUAUGUGGGCUCUUGGCCAGAUUACUGGUCUCUGUCACCUCUCCCUCCGGCCCAGACAAGAUGAUUACGAGGUGCUGCUGCAACAGCUGCAGAACAAUGAGGCGUCAUCUGGAGACUCAUUCUACGUGCGUGUCAACAUGUCCUUCCCCCCCGGACCCAAUGGAACCCUGGCCGUCUCCUGCAACGACAUCCUUCAUGUGACCAACACACGACCUGCUGGCACCGAGGACUCAUGGCACGCCAGCCAAGUUCACCCCUGUCAGCUACUGGACCUCCAGAGUGGAACUGUACCCAACUAUUACAGGGCACAGCGACUUCUGAUUCGAGCAAUUGAGGACAUGAGCUUUCAAACAAAGAGGUGUCAAAAGGUUUGCCGUGUGGUGACCAAGAAUAAGGAGCAAGCAGUGAGGAUUGUCAGCACCGGGCGCCAGGGCAGGAACCCAAUGUGGGUCAGUGUGGAGGAUGAAAAGACCACAGACUCAGGUGACCCAUCUGCAGCCAAAAGUUGUGUAUCCCUCAUGCCUUACACCCUGGUCACCCCUCACUACCCACCCAUUUGCAGGCCUGUCCUGCUGCUGCCCACCAUCCUAGGACGCAUCCUGGACAAGAAACUGGCAGGCUGGCAAGGCUUUCAGCUAUGUGAGCCUGAGGUGCUGAGCCCCAGUGAGCAUGCAGCCCAGCUGCAGAGGUCAGAGAUUCUGGAGGAAUGUGAGCAAGGACAAAACUGCUGCUACACCCUGAAGAGUGUCGAGAAAGUCAUGAAGAAGGGGAUUCACUGUGUGCUGCCGCUGGGGCUGGACUGCGUGCGGAGGCUGCAUCGGGCCGACAUCUUCCCUAUUAUUAUUUUCAUUGGCCAGUCUGCACGUAGUGCACGGAAACUGAGGUCAAAGCUGCAGCGCCACAGCCAGUCAGAGGAGCAGCUGCUGGCAUGUUCGAAGAGCGAGGAGCCGCUGCUGGACAAGCUGCCGUGUCUGUAUCACAGCGUGGACCCAGACUCCUGGUGUGACCAGGCCUCCCUGCUGACCAACCUGCGCACCAUCAUCUGGGAGGAGCAGAAGAAGAUUGUCUGGGUAGAGCCUGACCUGUGGUGAAACGGAGGAAAACCUAAAAAUAAUAGAGAAAAAUCGAAAGAUAACAGAAACAGCCUUUUGCGAAUAUAAACAAGCUUUACAAGAAAUAUUUUUGUAAACAUGAGUAUGUAUCUAUGAUACUUAUGAGUAACUGAGUGAAGGAAGAACUUGGAGUGUAAGAAGCUAUAUGACUAUUUAGUGUACCCAGAAAUAUUUUCUACUUUGCGUUGCCUCCCUUUUUGAGGCAUUUAUUUAAAGUAAACACUGGUGUGAGGUGUCCUUUAAAAACACAAACAUUUAUCAUUAAAAUAUACUGCAAUGACAUGUACCGUAUCUCCACAAUAUGUUGUAGGUCAUUUCCAACCAGGAGGAAUUAUCUUUUAACGCUCUGCCGAAACCUUCUCUUGUGUUAAGUAGAAUGAGCUACAGUAUGUUGUCAUUUGAAUUUUGGGGAAUAAUUAGAUAUAGUGUAACAUACUUGUCAGUGAACAUCAGUCAGCUUAUCUCUCCUAAAACUCACAGAUUUUGGAAUGAAACUCAACGAUGUGCAUGUGGUUAGAGUGAGUAAAGAGAUCUGUUGAGUUCAUGACAGGCAUGUUACUGCACUUCUUCUUUUAAGGAGCUCCUCUCUUUUUCCUUCUCUUCUUCUUUCUCUUCUGCUUGGCACCGGCCAAAAUUUCAAAAACUUCAUGACAUACCUUUGAAAUAGUAAUGACUUAGUGCACAAACUAUUCUGCAUUACACAGUGUAUUCUCCCUGAGAAAACAUGAAACCAGAUUAAAAAAACAAAGAAUGGUAACUUGGUGAACUUGGUAACACUGCUGAGCUACGUGUGUGUGUGUGUGUGUGUGUGUGUGUGUGUGUGUGUGUGUGCUUUAAAAGGCAUAUUUUGCAGGCCUGCAGGCACAUGAAACACAACUUUGUUGAGUGCUUACAGCCUCUUGGAAUUUAAGAUAAGAUUCUUAUCAGGACAUGAAAAAAUCUGCGUGAUGUUCACAUUUUGUUUUUUGCCAAAAUGACAUGAAAGAUGUGACGUCUGUUUUUGCUGGCCCAGUGUCGGAAUUUAACUGUCUCCAGAGCAUACGAUACACUCAGUUACUUCCUCAGCAAAGACAUUCUUUUAAUUUCGAGUGCUGACCCUCUGAUGACCCAGUGUGGUGUGAAACAUGUCACACAGGAGUGGCUGCAAACCCAAGUGAUACAAGGAAAGGCAGCUAGGCUGAAGUGGAUGUCGGGUGGAAUUAGAUGCUAGCAGACAAUUUGAUUUCUUCGUCUUCAAGGCUUCCUACUCCUCCCCAGACACAGGCAGCACAGAGGGCCUCUGUGCUGUCCUGGAAGUUCACAUGUGGCCACAGGUGGAAAACCAACAGUACAGUGUCACCCAAACUCAGACACCACCCCCAGGCUUGAGCAUAAGGAGAAAAUGGAAAUAGCCAACACUGAACCGAUGCAGUCAAUACCACUCUCCACAAAAGGGCUGUGAGAGAUGCUCUCCGCCUUAGAGCAAGACCGAUGGAUGGAGGAGUGGGCGAUAGCCGGAAUAUGUUCAGCAUCCUUUGCAUCCAAAAGGAACAUCCAAUCAUGUGACUGUUUGCCAUAACCUGAGGUGAAGAAUUCCACUGUGAGGUUAAGGAAUGGAGAGUAAGUUGGAAGAGAAUGUGGUAUCAUCAUGGGAUGUGUUGUAAACCAGUCUGUGACUGAAAGAGAAUGAUGAAGCCCCACAUCAUCACAGAUAGUUACAAAAAGCCCUGAAUUCUCACUCACCUGGCCCCUUUUCUCCCCUGGCAGAAGUCCUUCAUAGAAAUCACCUAGGAGAUUUAGCAUUUUUAUUUCUUUAUUUCUUUUUAAAUGUAGGUGUGGCAGAAUGUCACAAAUUGCAGCAAUUGCAAUUGUGGCAAUUUUUAAAUGAACUUGGAAAAAUGUGGUUUGUAAAAAUUGUAUUAACCUCUGUCAAAGUCAGUGUUUAGUUUGUUAUUUUGAAAGACAAAGAUUUAGCUGUCCAUUCAUAGAUGGAGGUCAAAGGUAGUAAAAUGUCCUCAGGAUAAUGUGUCACAAGGUUAGGGACAAUUUAGUUACACCUUCCCGUAAGUGGUCAUUACAGUAAAUGCUGUGUGUGUGUGUGUGUAUGUGUUUUUUUAUAGAGUGAGUGAGUGUGUGAGAGAGAGAAGAGAGAGCGAGAGACAGUCACAGGCACAGAGUGUGUGUGUGGCACUGGAUCAGUAGUGAGAGACGGUGACACACUGUCAGUUCAGCUUUGUCACCAGAGCAAACAUUGUGUGUCUGUGUCAGAGAACGUGUGUGUAUAAGCCGGUGUGUGAGUGGGAUGUGUGCUGUCGUUACUAAAGCACUAUUGGCAGAAAAGACACAGCACCUGCUGAUGGUGACGUAUGUCAUGCCACUUGCUGAAGGAUGUAGGAAUAUAUUUUUACAACAUCUCUCUCUUAAUUUCCUGUCUGCUAACAGAUUUGUAGGCAGUGGCACAUACUGUGAAGAGAAUCAAGCCACAUGCCAACAAUAAUACUACUGCUGAAAAAUAAAAUGUAAGGAUUUCUUACAUUUCUACACUUGUCAAGUUGAUAUUAAUGCAUUGCAAAGAUAUCAUCAGGCAACUCUCCAACUCUCCAAAACCUAAACUUCAGUCAGAGACACUUGUGUCAAGAAAUGUAUAUAUAGUUUUAUAGUUAAUUGUUAUGCAGUUAGAUUUGGCAGAAAAGAGUCUGGUGUAUUUAGGGCGUCCUCAAAGGAUCAGCAGCAAUGAGCGUUCUGCUGAAAUAGCAAUUUAGGAGAACUUUGGGGCCAAGUCAACCCCUCUAACUUGUUCUUCUUAUUCUCAAACCGUUCUUGAACCAUUUUUGCAGUGUGGCAGGUGCAUCAUCCUGCUGAAGGAAGCCACUGCCAUAAAAUAAUAUGGUACUCAUUUUCCCUGAAGGGGUGUUCUUCCUUGGUACACGUACCACCUACUUAAGCAGCAACAAUGUGUGGUACAUGUCAAAGUAACAUCCACAUGAAUGGAAGGACCCAAGGUUUCCCAGCAGAACAUUGCCCAAAGCGUCACACUGCCUCUGCUGGUUUACCUUCAUCCCAUAGUGCAUCCUGGUGCCAUGUCCUCCCCAGGUAAGAGAUGCACACAAACACCUGACCAUCCACAUGAUGGAAAGGCAGACGUGAUUGACCACACCGGACCACCUUCUUCCAUUGCUCUGUGCUCCAGUUCUGAUGCUCACAUGCCCAUUGUGGGCACUUUUGGCAGUAGACAUGGGUCAGACUUACCUGUUUGCAGCUCCACAGAUUGAACAGAUGGCCAUCUGUUCAAUCAUGAAGUAGCUGGUAAGUAACUAUUUCAGGUUGCAUUAAGAAGCAGAAAGUCAAACGCUGAACCUGAAUUUCUGUCAGGCCUUUCACACAGCCAGUAGUGUCCACAGACACCCGUGUCAGACGAAGCAUUACGAAAAGUCUGUCUCACCUCCACCUAAUUAAAAUAGUAACUCAUUGUGAUUAUUUUAG